UACGGGAGGGCAGCAGUGGGGAAUAUUGGACAAUGGCCGAGGGCUGAUCCAGCCAUGCCGCGUGCGGGAGGACGGCCCUAUGGGUUGUAAACCGCUUUUGUCAGGGGGCAAUAAGGUCUACGUGUAGACUGAUGAGAGUACCUGGCGAAUAAGCAUCGGCUAACUCCGUGCCAGCAGCCGCGGUAAU
rnacentral:rRNA from 1 species